UACGUAGGGUGCGAGCGUUAAUCGGAAUUACUGGGCGUAAAGCGUGCGCAGGCGGUUUUGUAAGUCUGACGUGAAAUCCCCGGGCUUAACCUGGGAAUUGCGUUGGAGACUGCAAGGCUGGAGUCUGGCAGAGGGGGGUAGAAUUCCACGUGUAGCAGUGAAAUGCGUAGAGAUGUGGAGGAACCCCGAUGGCGAAGGCAGCCCCCUGGGUCAAGACUGACGCUCAUGCACGAAAGCGUGGGGAGCAAACAGG
rnacentral:rRNA from 1 species